UGGGGUAUAUUGGACAAUGGGCGGAAGCCUGAUCCAGCAACGCCGCGUGAGGGAUGACGGCCUUCGGGUUGUAAACCUCUUUCGGUAGGGACGAAGCGAAAGUGACGGUACCUACAAAAGAAGGACCGGCCAACUACGUGCCAGCAGCCGCGGUAAUACGUAGGGUCCGAGCGUUGUCCGGAAUUAUUGGGCGUAAAGGGCUCGUAGGCGGUUUGUCGCGUCGGGAGUGAAAACACCGGGCUUAACUCGGUGCUUGCUUUCGAUACGGGCAGACUGGAGGUAUGCAGGGGAGAACGGAAUUCCUGGUGUAGCGGUGAAAUGCGCAGAUAUCAGGGGGAACACCGGUGGCGAAGGCGGUUCUCUGGGCAUGACCUGACGCUGAGGAGCGAAAGUGUGGGGAGCGAACAGGAUUAGAUACCCUGGUAGUCCACACCGUAAACGUUGGGCGCUAGGUGUGGGACCUAUUCCAUGGGUUCCGUGCCGCAGCUAACGCAUUAAGCGCCCCCGCCUGGGGAGUACGGCCGCAAGGCUGAAACUCAAAGG
rnacentral:rRNA from 1 species